GCGAGUAUGGCCCUCACGGAUCUAAUCCACCACAAACACCUUUGUGAACCAAUCAAAAAACUCGGCCGUGGGAAAGCCCAGGCGAUUAGCGGAAGGGCCCUCCUUUGCAAACCCGUUUAGAAGUCUUGAAAGUACUUUUGUAUAAUCUAGUA
rnacentral:misc_RNA from 1 species